CAGCCGCCGCGGUAAUACGGAGGUGGCGAACGUUGUUCGGAUUUACUGGGCGUAAAGGGUCCGCAGGUGGUCUUGUGUGUCAGAUGUGAAAGCCCACAGCUUAACUGUGGAAUUGCAUUUGAAACUGCAGGACUAGAGUACUGGAGGGGAGAAGGGAACACUUGGUGUAGCGGUGAAAUGCGUAGAUAUCAAGUGGAACACUGGCGGCGAAGGCGCUUCUCUGGACAGAUACUGACGCUCAUGGACGAAAGUUGGGGUAGCGGAAGGGAUUAGAUACCCCUGUAGUCCCAACCGUAAACGGUGUGCACUAGACGUGGGAGGCUUUACCCCCUUCCGUGUCUGAGCUAACGCAUUAAGUGCACCGCCUGGGGAGUACGGUCGCAAGAUUAAAACUCAAAGGAAUUGACGGGGACCCGCACAAGCGGUGGAGCAUGCGGCUUAAUUCGAUGCAACGCGAAGAACCUUACCUGGGCUUGACAUGAUACUGCAUACGAUCCGAAAGGAACGUAGCCUUCGAGGGUGUAUCACAGGUGCUGCAUGGCUGUCGUCAGCUCGUGCCGUGAGGUGUUGGGUUAAGUCCCGCAACGAGCGCAACCCCUGUGUUUAGUUGCCAGCACGUAAUGGUGGGAACUCUAAACAGACUGCUGGUGAAAACAAGAGGAAGGUGGGGAUGACGUCAAGUCAGUAUGGUCCUUAUGUCCAGGGCUGCACGCGUGCUACAAUGGGUGAUACAAUGGGAGGCUAAGCCGCGAGGUGGAGCAAAUCCUCAAAAUCACCCCCAGUUCGGAUUGGAGUCUGAAACUCGACUCCAUGAAGUUGGAAUCGCUAGUAAAGGUAUAUCAGCUACGAUACCUUGAAUACGUUCCCGGGUCUUGUACACACCGCCCGUCACAUCAUGGAAGUCUGUUGCACCCGAAGUUGUUGAUCCAACCUUUUAUUAGGAGGAAGGCACCUAAGGUGUGAUAGGUAACUGGGAUGAAGUCGUAACAAGGUAGCCGUA
rnacentral:rRNA from 1 species